GUGGGGAAUAUUGGACAAUGGGCGAAAGCCUGAUCCAGCCAUGCCGCGUGAGUGAUGAAGGCCUUAGGGUUGUAAAGCUCUUUCAGUAGGGAAGAUAAUGACGGUACCUACAGAAGAAGCCCCGGCUAACUUCGUGCCAGCAGCCGCGGUAAUACGAAGGGGGCUAGCGUUGUUCGGAUUUACUGGGCGUAAAGCGCACGUAGGCGGAUCGUUAAGUCGGGGGUGAAAUCCUGGAGCUCAACUCCAGAACUGCCUUCGAUACUGGCGAUCUUGAGUCCGGAAGAGGUGAGUGGAACUCCUAGUGUAGAGGUGGAAUUCGUAGAUAUUAGGAAGAACACCAGUGGCGAAGGCGGCUCACUGGUCCGGUACUGACGCUGAGGUGCGAAAGCGUGGGGAGCAAACAGGAUUAGAAACCCUGGUAGUCC
rnacentral:rRNA from 1 species